UGGCGUGGCGCGAGCGCGCAGCGCGCGCCUCCUGCAGCCGCCACGCGCCGCUCUGCGGCGACCCGCGCCCAGGCGCUGCCGCUUCCCGCCACGCGCUGCGGACACACGGACACACGCGGGGGGACACACGGACACACACGGACACACGGACACACGGGACACACGGACACACAGGGACACACGGACACACGGACACACGGACACACGGGGACACACGGACACACGGACACACGGACACACGGAACACACGGACACACACGGACACACCGGGGACAGCAGGGGGACGCACGCAGGGGGGCACACGGACACACGCGGGGGGACACACGGACACAGGGACACACGGACACACGCGGGGGGACACACGGACACACAGCAGGGACAGCAGGGGGACACAUGGACACACACGGGGACACACGGACACACACGGGGACACACGGACACACACAUGGGGACACACGGACACAGCGGGGACAGCGGGGGACACACGGACACACACAUGGGGACACACGGACACACGCGGGGGGACACACGGACACAGCGGGGACAGGGGGGGACAAAUGAGCGCUUCAGCAUUGGCUUCUGGCAAACCUCACACGGAACGUCACGUGCGCGCGGCGGAAAGCGACGCUGCGUCAAUUCUCUUGAGCAGCGUUAUAAAAAUACCAACGCAAUCUGAGCAGCAUCCAUUUGGAUUAGUGCAAACUGUUAUGAUUAUUUUAGAAUUUUUAUAAUCAUUAUUUAUUUAUAUUUAAAUGCAAUAGAAUUUAUUUCUCAUCAUUAUUUAUUUCUCAUUAUUACUUAUUUCUCAUCAUUAUUUACUCCUCAUUAUUACUUAUUUCUCAUUUUUCAUUUAUAUUAUAUAUAAAAUAAUGCAAUACGAUAUAUAUUCAAUUCUAUUCUAUAUAUUAUAUUAUAAACACAAAUAAUACAUAUUAUUUAUUAAUUAUAAUUUGUUUAUAAUUAUUAUUUAUAUAUAUAAUUAUUUAGUCCAAUUUUUUAUGAUUAUUUUAG
rnacentral:lncRNA from 14 species